GUCCACGCCCUAAACGAUGCAUACUUGGUGUGGGCCAUUCAUUUGGUCUGUGCCGGAGCUAACGCGUUAAGUAUGCCGCCUGGGGAGUACGGUCGCAAGGCUGAAAACUCAAAAGGAAUUGACGGGGGCCCGCACAAGCGGUGGAGCAUGUGGUUCAAUUCGACGCAAACGCGAAGAACCUUACCUGGGGCUCGAAACGGCUUUUGGAAUCAAUCCUCAGAAAACGAGGACUUCUCGCAAGAGACCGGAGUCGAGGUGCUGCAUGGCUGUCGU
rnacentral:rRNA from 1 species